UUUAUGAUUUGGGGGCCACCACAACAUGAGGAACUGUAUUAAAGGGUCGCGGCAUUAGGAAAGUUGAGAACGACUGUUCUCUAUGUUUCUCUGAGCAUACAGUAUCCCCAUCCUUCAGUUGUGUGUGUGUGAGAGAGAGAGAGAGAGAGAGAGAGAGAGGGAG